UAUCAUCAUUCCCAUUUAACAGAUAAGGUAAUUGAAGAUUCAAGAGGUGGACUGAUCUGUUCAGAGUCACACAGCUAGUGAGGAGUCAGGUGAUAUCCAUGUGGCCUUGGACGGGUCAUUUAAUCUCUCUGAGGCCCAAACAGGAAUAAUAGAGUACCUGCCUCGGGCUCCAGGAAGGACUGGAAGAAGGCACGUUCGGUCCUUAUUUCCGCAGCCCGCCCCGACGCCUCUCCCUGACCACCCCCCGCCAGCGGCGCCCACCUGCACACGGUGAUCAGGUUCCUACGCUCCACGGCCACAUUGCGGGAAGACGCUUUCUUGGAGGACAGCCCCAGAGCCAUGGUGGUCUGGACAAAGCUCGCUUCCAUCCAGAUGUGCGGCCACUGCUGCCGCCACCAGCUGCCCCCCACCCCGCCUGGAGCCCCGGCCCCCCCCCGCCGGAUCACGGCUGGGCCCUCUGCCCGCCGGGGCCCCUCGAUCCCUGCUCGGUCAUCCCCCUGCCGCUGCUCCCGGUGCCCGGCCCCCUGGCACCCUCCCCCGGCGGCGAUUCCAGAGCAAAACAAGGCCGGAGGGAGCUCUCCGAGGUGCUGAGCCGGGCCCGUCACCCCCCUCCCUUAGACGUCCGCCCCCCUCGGCUGGUGACGUCAGGGCCCUCGGGCCCCGCCCCUGGCAGGCCGGGCACCAAUCCGCAGAGGAUGCAGAAUUUGGGGGUGGGUGGGGGGAGAGGGCUGGGGCAGAGGGAGGGCGGAGGGGGUCCCCGGAAGAAGCAGCGAUUGGAAGGAGGAAGAGGGGGUAUCUGGCCUGUUGUCCAUUCCCACACUCAGGGCCCGGGACCCCUCUCCUCGCGUCUCUGAGUUCCAACGACUGAACUCCCUGGUUUCUGAGCUGUGAUCGGUGGUGUCUCAGUUUUCCUCCUGCUGCCGGGGAAAGGAGGUCCUCACUUCCCAUACCCUCAUCGCAGCCCCGUCCCACACCCAAUCAGUAUCUUCGUUCUCAAGGAGGCCGGGAUCAGGUCUGCCUCCAGAGAGCUCAGGUGGCCCUACGCGGUAACCUAGGAGGCCAAGGAGCAGUCGGAGAGACUGUGUAUCUGGUGUUUGGCUUGUCAGCACCGGCCGGUGGAUUCAACGGCUCCUAGGGUGGGGGAUGGGAAUCCAGAAUAAGCCGUAGGAGCCUAGCGGCUUGAACCACUCAGGACUGUGAGACUAGACUGGCAGCUAAGGGCCAAGGCACUGCGCGCUCUCUCUCUCUCUCUCUCUCUCUCUCUCUCUCUCUCGGAGUCCUACUACACCCUCACACCAUCCCAGGGCAACUGGCUUGAGGGUUAACCCCCUGGCUAUCAGCAUUGCUGCAUGGUGCCAUCAACUCACUCUGCAAGGCUAAGAGAGCCCCCAAAGCUGAUCACAUCUUUUAGGGUAAAGUGAAAUGGAUGCAUUGCCUGGCUUUCCUGUCACCCUCUGCCUCCCAGUUGUUCUCUCAUCCCUGCUUGCACCUGCUCCAUUCCUCUACUCAACCUGUUCUCUUUCACACUCCGAAAUCUCCAGCUCCCACAGAAAUCCUUCUGUGUUAAAGUGGGGUACAACCAAUUUUCCCAUUUGGCUUUAGGAAUGUCCAUCCUAGGGCUCAGCUUAUGUGUAUUCACCAACUCUGUCCACCUCCUGGAUUUACUCCACAUAUGUCCCCACACGGAUUCACAUGUGCACCAACAUCUGAAUAUGGUCAGCAGGCAGGCAGGGACCCUCUGUUAGCACAAACAGAGGAAGAGAUUAAAAAAAAAAAAAAAAAAAAAAAGGCCUAUGCAAGCUCACAACCCCGGUCUCACUCCCUGGGCACUCCCAGCAAAGAUCUCAUGUCUACUCAACCUCAGCCUCAAUUCUUGGCUUCCAGGACCUCAGACUUGGUCUUUUCUGUUUCUCCUUUGCCGUUUCCCUCUUCCCUCACUUCUAGAAGGCCCUCUUAUCAUCCUCCUGCCUCCAGCUAGAUAGCCAAGGCCAAUCAUGAUAUUCUUUUGUUUUUCAGUUGCAGGGUAUGUCAUGUGAACAAAAGAGCAUGUAAAACACAUAGGUGCCGUUUAAAGAAUAUUUACAAAACAAACACCUGUGUCAUUUCCUUAAAGAUCAAGAAAUAGAAAGUUGUCAAGAACCCAGGACUUCCCAAACACACCCAGAUCUUCUCUUCAUCUAUCCCCCCAAGGGACAACCACUAUCCUGAC